rnacentral:rRNA from 1 species
GGGGAAUUUUCCGCAAUGGGCGAAAGCCUGACGGAGCAACGCCGCGUGAGGGAAGAAGGCCUCUGGGCUGUAAACCUCUUUUCUCAAGGAAGAAGAUCUGACGGUACUUGAGGAAUAAGCCACGGCUAAUUCCGUGCCAGCAGCCGCGGUAAUACGGGAGUGGCAAGCGUUAUCCGGAAUUAUUGGGCGUAAAGCGUCCGCAGGCGGCCUUUCAAGUCUGCUGUUAAAAAGUGGAGCUUAACUCCAUCAUGGCAGUGGAAACUGUUGGGCUUGAGUGUGGUAGGGGCAGAGGGAAUUCCCGGUGUAGCGGUGAAAUGCGUAGAUAUCGGGAAGAACACCAGUGGCGAAAGCGCUCUGCUGGGCCAUAACUGACGCUCAUGGACGAAAGCCAGGGGAGCGAAAGGGAUUAGAUACCCCUGUAGUCAAGG